GUGACACUGAGUCGAUUGUGUGAACAAGACAAAAUACUGCAAGAGCUUGAGUUCAGACUCAGUGGACUUAAGGAUGAUAAGGACAAGCUUGAGUCUGUUCUGGAUGUGUCCCACCAGCAGAUGGAGCGGUACAAGGAUCAGCCGGCUCAUGCUGAGAAGAUCGCCUACCAGCAGCGACUUCUUCAAGAGGACCUGGUGCAUAUUCGAGCUGACAUUUCUAGAGUUUCAACGGAGAUGGAGAGAGCGUGGGAGGACUACAGCAGGCUGGAGCAGUCAGUGGAACAGCUGAGGGACGUCCUGCAGACUCAGAUGAAUCUCUGCACAUCAC